rnacentral:rRNA from 1 species
CGAAUGCUGACAUAAGUAACGAUAAAGCGGGUGAAAAGCCCGCUCGCCGGAAGACCAAGGGUUCCUGUCCAACGUUAAUCGGGGCAGGGUGAGUCGACCCCUAAGGCGAGGCCGAAAGGCGUAGUCGAUGGGAAACAGGUUAAUAUUCCUGUACUUGGUGUUACUGCGAAGGGGGGACGGAGAAGGCUAUGUUGGCCGGGCGACGGUUGUCCCGGUUUAAGCGUGUAGGCUGGUUUUCCAGGCAAAUCCGGAAAAUCAAGGCUGAGGCGUGAUGACGAGGCACUACGGUGCUGAAGCAACAAAUGCCCUGCUUCCAGGAAAAGCCUCUAAGCAUCAGGUAACAUCAAAUCGUACCCCAAACCGACACAGGUGGUCAGGUAGAGAAUACCAAGGCGCUUGAGAGAACUCGGGUGAAGGAACUAGGCAAAAUGGUGCCGUAACUUCGGGAGAAGGCACGCUGAUAUGUAGGUGAAGCGACUUGCUCGUGGAGCUGAAAUCAGUCGAAGAUACCAGCUGGCUGCAACUGUUUAUUAAAAACACAGCACUGUGCAAACACGAAAGUGGACGUAUACGGUGUGACGCCUGCCCGGUGCCGGAAGGUUAAUUGAUGGGGUUAGCGGUAACGCGAAGCUCUUGAUCGAAGCCCCGGUAAACGGCGGCCGUAACUAUAACGGUCCUAAGGUAGCGAAAUUCCUUGUCGGGUAAGUUCCGACCUGCACGAAUGGCGUAAUGAUGGCCAGGCUGUCUCCACCCGAGACUCAGUGAAAUUGAACUCGCUGUGAAGAUGCAGUGUACCCGCGGCAAGACGGAAAGACCCCGUGAACCUUUACUAUAGCUUGACACUGAACAUUGAGCCUUGAUGUGUAGGAUAGGUGGGAGGCUUUGAAGUGUGGACGCCAGUCUGCAUGGAGCCGACCUUGAAAUACCACCCUUUAAUGUUUGAUGUUCUAACGUGGACCCGUAAUCCGGGUUGCGGACAGUGUCUGGUGGGUAGUUUGACUGGGGCGGUCUCCUCCUAAAGAGUAACGGAGGAGCACGAAGGUUGGCUAAUCCUGGUCGGACAUCAGGAGGUUAGUGCAAUGGCAUAAGCCAGCUUGACUGCGAGCGUGACGGCGCGAGCAGGUGCGAAAGCAGGUCAUAGUGAUCCGGUGGUUCUGAAUGGAAGGGCCAUCGCUCAACGGAUAAAAGGUACUCCGGGGAUAACAGGCUGAUACCGCCCAAGAGUUCAUAUCGACGGCGGUGUUUGGCACCUCGAUGUCGGCUCAUCACAUCCUGGGGCUGAAGUAGGUCCCAAGGGUAUGGCUGUUCGCCAUUUAAAGUGGUACGCGAGCUGGGUUUAGAACGUCGUGAGACAGUUCGGUCCCUAUCUGCCGUGGGCGCUGGAGAACUGAGGGGGGCUGCUCCUAGUACGAGAGGACCGGAGUGGACGCAUCACUGGUGUUCGGGUUGUCAUGCCAAUGGCACUGCCCGGUAGCUAAAUGCGGAAGAGAUAAGUGCUGAAAGCAUCUAAGCACGAAACUUGCCCCGAGAUGAGUUCUCCCUGACUCCUUGAGAGUCCUGAAGGAACGUUGAAGACGACGACGUUGAUAGGCCGGGUGUGUAAGCGCAGCGAUGCGUUGAGCUAACCGGUACUAAUGAACCGUGAGG